GAUUCUCAAAUAGAUAAGUUUAAUAAAUGAAGCCUGGUGAGGUUUUCAAUAGAAGCAAGCGAUAUGUGCAUUUCAAUGAGCCCACUAGGCAACCUAUAUUUUAAAGUUUAACAGCUGCUACAUCAUGGAUUAGAUGUGGUCAAUCUUAAUCAAAGAGGUGCUUUUUCACAUAGAUUAUACAUACCUUGCGAGUUUGUGGAAAGACAACUCUUGGUUUUAUGUGAAUUGAAUGGUAAAAAAACCAACUUCCUAAAAUACUAGGUUACAAUAAACCAAGGACGUGUUGCAAUAGGUGUAAUUGACAUCUACUCAAAAUCAUAAAUAGAGCUUUACAUGUUGUUAUGACAGAGAGUACCAUGAAGGCCAUGUUGAUUAAUCAAAGGAACAGAGAGAGAGAAAAUAACAGUGAAGAAUGCUAGAUGAGAAAGCUAAAUU
rnacentral:misc_RNA from 1 species